CCUACGGGUGGCUGCAGUGGGGAAUAUUGGACAAUGGGCGAAAGCCUGAUCCAGCCAUGCCGCGUGUGUGAAGAAGGCCUUCGGGUUGUAAAGCACUUUCAGUGGGGAAGAAAGCCUUGGGGCUAAUACCCUCGAGGAAGGACAUCACCCACAGAAGAAGCACCGGCUAACUCCGUGCCAGCAGCCGCGGUAAUACGGAGGGUGCGAGCGUUAAUCGGAAUUACUGGGCGUAAAGCGCGCGUAGGCGGUCUGAUAAGCCGGUUGUGAAAGCCCCGGGCUCAACCUGGGAACGGCAUCCGGAACUGUCAGGCUAGAGUGCAGGAGAGGAAGGUAGAAUUCCCGGUGUAGCGGUGAAAUGCGUAGAGAUCGGGAGGAAUACCAGUGGCGAAGGCGGCCUUCUGGACUGACACUGACGCUGAGGUGCGAAAGCGUGGGUAGCAAACAGGAUUAGAUACCCUUUAGUC
rnacentral:rRNA from 1 species